UGACGCUGCACAUACCCUUGGCGAGUAUCAACUGUCAUUAGAGAAGUAAAGUCGUACAAGGUUCCGUAGUGACCUGCGGAAGAUCAUUA
rnacentral:rRNA from 1 species